CUGCUAUCGUGAUUGGACUGUACUUUGGUCUGUUCCAAUCCAGCUUCAGCUCCAGAGACGGCAGGCGGGACAAGUCAACGGAGGCCGGGUGGACGAAGACCAAAGAACUACAGACUCUUCACAACCUGCUCAAACUCUUGGUACAGGAUCUCACCACACGGGUCAAGAAGGUUGCUUUGUAGAACUGUUCCAGAAAACCUCACUAAACCACAUGGAGGGGCCUCAAGAUAGUCGUCCAAAUGAAACCGUACAAAAACCAAACUGGCACAACCCAAACGCUAAAGUCUCCUGCAGUCUACCAGAGAACCUCUUUAAACAGAGAAUCAGGACAGGAACUCUUACCUUCUGGACAACCAACGUGUGUAUGUGUCUGACCAAAAACCUCUAAAGACUCACUACAGCCAAGAUAAAGACAACUCAGCUGCACCAAAUCCACUAAUCACUGCAAACAUUAGCACCAUGUGCUAACUGUGGCUAAAGAACCACAUGUACCAAGACAAGUAUCCAGUACAAAGCCCUAAAACACACCAAGAAACACAUUAAAGCCUAUUUUACUGCUGGAAGCUGCAAGCUAACGCCUAAAGAACAAACUAAAGCAAUGGAGCCAAACCCGGUUCAGUGGUGAAGAGAAACAGAGUAAAUGUUUGAAUGCAGCUAAAUAAAGCAGGAAGACACAGAGCUGCUCAGGUGUUCCUGAUAACACCAAGCAGCCACCUGGACAGCCAAUAGGAACACAGCUUACUGGAAGUCCAGAGGGCUGGCUUAGUGAAGUAAAUUUAGUUUAAAGUUGAGGCAGAAAGUUAACAAAAAAAGUUGAAAACCACCUUCUGAUACCUGAAAUCUCUGAGUUUUCACACAAAGAACACCUGAACAUGUCAAACUGGUUCCAUAGUAGAACCAUCAUUGUAAAAACGUCAUAGUAUGGUGUGUUGCUCCAAAAACAUUAGGACCCGGCUGUCUAGGGUUGCAGAGGAGCAACACAAAAACAGGA
ensembl:lncRNA